UGGGGUGUGGCUCAGUGGUAGAGCGCUUGCCUUGCCUGCGCGAGGCCCUGGGUUCCAUCCCCAGCAUUGCAA
rnacentral:tRNA from 1 species